UACGGAGGUGGCAAGCGUUGCUCGGAAUCACUGGGCGUAAAGGGCGCGUAGGCGGGGAGGUAAGUCGGGUGUGAAAUCCCUUGGCCCAACCGAGGAACUGCGCCCGAGACUGCUUCUCUUGAGUCCCGGAGAGGAAGGUGGAAUUCCCGGUGUAGCGGUGAAAUGUGUAGAGAUCGGGAGGAACACCGGUGGCGAAGGCGGCUUCCUGGACCUGUCCUGACGCUCAGGCGCGAAAGCUAGGGGAGCAAACAGG
rnacentral:rRNA from 1 species